GGGCCCGCACAAGCGGUGGAGCAUGUGGUUUAAUUCGAUGCAACGCGAAGAACCUUACCUACUCUUGACAUCCAGAGAACUUUUCAGAGAUGAAUUGGUGCCUUCGGGAACUCUGAGACAGGUGCUGCAUGGCUGUCGUCAGCUCGUGUUGUGAAAUGUUGGGUUAAGUCCCGCAACGAGCGCAACCCUUAUCCUUGUUUGCCAGCGAGUAAUGUCGGGAACUCUAACGAAACUGCCAGUGCAAACUGUGAGGAAGGUGGGGAUGACGUCAAAUCAUCACGGCCCUUACGUCCUGGGCUACACACGUGCUACAAUGGCCGGUACAGAGAGCAGCCACUUCGCAAGAAGGAGCG
rnacentral:rRNA from 1 species